AAAGGAUGGAUGUCAACUCAGCAUCAUCGUGCCGGGAGCAGGAAUUUUGUGCAGGUCAGCAUGUUAAGCGAACCUUGGAAAAACUAUUGUGUGAUCAGACACCGCACUGAAGCAGCAGCAGCCAUUUGGUAAAGGUGCUCUUAGAUAAAAAGCUGAAUGCUGUGGUUUCAAUGACUUAUCGUUGAAACYUUGUGGUUUCUAUGUAGGCGGCUGUACAGGCUGGACACGUUUGACAUCCUUGUUUCUGAGCUGUGAAAUCUGUACAUCUAAUUUAUGAAAAUUAUCUCUGGCUUAAUUUUAUUCUUUUUUUAAUGAAGUCAACAUGCUAUUUCCCAUGCAUUCAGUGGAAACAAGAAUGGAAAUGUUUUAAGAUGUUCUGUAAACCUGCUUUGACCUCAAAAGGGAAAA